CCUACGGGAGACUGCAGUGAGGAAUAUUGGUCAAUGGACGAGAGUCUGAACCAGCCAAGUAGCGUGAAGGAUGACUGCCCUAUGGGUUGUAAACUUCUUUUAUAUGGGAAUAAAACGUUCCACGUGUGGCAUUUUGUAUGUACCAUAUGAAUAAGGAUCGGCUAACUCCGUGCCAGCAGCCGCGGUAAUACGGAGGAUCCGAGCGUUAUCCGGAUUUAUUGGGUUUAAAGGGAGCGUAGGUGGAUUGUUAAGUCAGUUGUGAAAGUUUGCGGCUCAACCGUAAAAUUGCAGUUGAAACUGGCAGUCUAGAGUACAGUAGAGGUGGGCGGAAUGCGUGGUGUAGCGGUGAAAUGCUUAGAGAUCACGAAGAACUCCGAUUGCGAAGGCAGCUCACUAGACUGCAACUGACGCUGAGGCUCGAAAGUGUGGGUAGCAAACAGGAUUAGAUACCCUGGUAGUC
rnacentral:rRNA from 1 species